UGACUGCUGGUAUGCAGGGAAGAAGGCACAUCCUGGCUGCUGGUACAUAGGGAGGAAGGCACAUCAUGAUCACUGGCAACUCACGUGCACACAUUCUGGCCACAGAUCAUAGUUACCACAUCAUCACUUUCUGUCUUAGAGAUUCUCUGUUGUCUUUCACAGUGCCAUCUUGUUUUGGUCCCCAACAUGGAGGAGAGGAUACCAAGCAACCACCGCAGAGCGGCAACUGCUGUGGCAAAAUGGUCCAUGAAACUGAGAAUCUGAAACUGCAGUGACACAACACGAACGCAGCUGGCUUAAGCAGCGAGAUCGUCAGACUCAUCCAGCCACUUGGGACUUCCAUUGUAGCCUCCUCUACCAACUCCUCGCAAAUGGGAACCAGCUGGGAAGUUUCAGGCCGUAGGAUCCCACUUGCCUUGUCGGACUGGCAAUACUUUUCCGUUGAACAGACAGAACAACUUACAUCCAGUCCUGGGCCCUUUUUACUAUUCCGUAACAUGCACCUUAUGAGAUAGAAGUUUUCAUCUGAAACUAGUAAAAUGACAUGGUUUGGAUGUCUGAUCUAACUCAUGAAGGAAACUUCAUAUUAAAACCUGAACCUACUUUAUCAUAUUAAAACUUGAAAUGUCAGAUGAUUUUUAAAAUUCUAACUGCAGAACUGUGUUGCUAGACCACCACUCUACGGUUCCAUGGAGGAUGCUGUGUACAAAAUAUUAACUGAUGGAUGGUUUGAUGAAGAACAUUCCUAACAUUUGUGUGUUAUGAUGACUGCCAUGAAUUUCACAACUAGAACAGAAAGCUAUUGAAGAUAACUAAAAUUCAGCAUUACAUUUGGAAACAAAUAUUGUACCACUACACAAAUAACUGUAAAAAUACAGAUUCUUGUAAAUGCUUUGGAGUAUAUUGAAAAAUCACUAUCGUGCUAAGAACAAGGAAGGAGGCGAGCAGUCUGCUGUUUCCACCACUCCCCUCUGCCUUUACCAAACACAAAAUUAUGCUUUGGAUGCAUUUAUCCUCUGGGUGUUCACCUCUCCAAAAGUAAGUCUGAGAACAGGAUGUUACAGAGAACAGUAGUUUCUCAUCCUGUGAAAACCCUUAUGCUGCGUGAAAAUUCCUAGGUACUCUAAACCAACAAAAUAGUUGAUUUCUCUAUGUAAUGUAAGCUCAAUUUUUGGUAGAAGUAAAUCCACUCACCUAGAAAAUGCUGUGUAUUUUGUAAACCGUUAAAUAGUAUAUCAAGCAGCUUGUUUAAACACAGGAUGGCAGGGGUGGCAGGAAUGUAAUUUUCUAUUUAAUUCUAUUUGAUUAGGAGAGUUACACAGCCUGUCAUUUAGCUUCUAGGACAGCCAUAAAAUGUCUUUGCCUUCCACUGAUUUGCUUGCGAGGCCUACAGGCAUCAGGCUUGUUUCUGCUUAACAUUUGAGCUCAAGGUUGCCAAUUAAUAGGUAAUGAUAAGAACUGAUCCACUGCAUUUAAUAGAUGUGACAAAAUCAGGUAGAAGUACUAGGAAGAUAACUUGAUAUAUGGAGAAGUAAUCAUAUUUUAAUAUCUAGUAGCUGCAGAUGUUCAGAUUACUGUAAUGCUAUUAAAAUGAGUAUCUAUUAAUACACAGAUAUUUCAGUGACACACAGAAACAAAGCCGAACAAAACCUGAAAUAAAAACAAAACUAAAUUUGCCUGUUUAUUGGAAUUAGCCUUCAAUCACUUAUUCAGUUCUAAUAGACAAAUGACUGUACAUCUGAAAAGAUGAUGCUCUCACCCUCUUCUUCCUCCCAUGGUUCACAGAUUGC